AGAGUUUGAUCCUGGCUCAGGAUGAACGCUAGCGGCAGGCUUAAUACAUGCAAGUCGAGGGGUAACACGGGUAGCAAUACCUGGUGACGACCGGCAAACGGGUGCGGAACACGUACAGAACCUUCCUUUAAGCGGGGGAUAGCCCGGAGAAAUCCGGAUUAAUACCCCAUAGUAUUGUUGGGUGGCAUCAUUUGACAAUUAAAGAUUUAUCACUUAAAGAUGGCUGUGCGGCUGAUUAGGUAGUUGGUAGGGGUAACGGCCCACCAAGCCUUCGAUCAGUAACUGGUGUGAGAGCACGACCAGUCACACGGGCACUGAGACACGGGCCCGACUCCUACGGGAGGCAGCAGUAAGGAAUAUUGGUCAAUGGAGGCAACUCUGAACCAGCCAUGCCGCGUGAAGGAUGAAGGUCCUCUGGAUUGUAAACUUCUUUUAUGUGGGAAGAAAUGCCUGUUUUUUAAUGGGUUUGACGGUACCAUAGGAAUAAGCACCGGCUAACUCCGUGCCAGCAGCCGCGGUAAUACGGAGGGUGCGAGCGUUAUCCGGAUUCACUGGGUUUAAAGGGUGCGUAGGUGGGAAUGUAAGUCAGCGGUGAAAUCUCCGUGCUUAACACGGAAACUGCCAUUGAUACUAUGUUUCUUGAAUUUUCUGGAGGUCAGCGGAAUAUGUCAUGUAGCGGUGAAAUGCUUAGAUAUGACAUAGAACACCAAUUGCGAAGGCAGCUGGCUACAGAGACAUUGACACUGAGGCACGAAAGCGUGGGGAUCAAACAGGAUUAGAUACCCUGGUAGUCC
rnacentral:rRNA from 1 species